rnacentral:rRNA from 1 species
UACGGGGGGGGCAAGCGUUGCUCGGAAUUACUGGGCGUAAAGGGCUCGUAGGCGGCCACCUAAGUCCGACGUGAAAUCCCCAGGCUUAACCUGGGAACUGCGUCGGAUACUGGAUGGCUUGAAUCCGGGAGAGGGAUGCGGAAUUCCAGGUGUAGCGGUGAAAUGCGUAGAUAUCGGGAGGAACACCAGUGGCGAAGGCGACUUCCUGGCCUGUUCUUGACGCUGAGGCGCGAAAGCUAGGGGAGCAAACGGG